GAGUUUGAUCAUGGUUCAGGACGAACGCUGGCGGCGUGCCUAACACAUGCAAGUCGAACGAGGUUCAGUCAGUAGCAAUACUGACGAAGACCUAGUGGCGAACGGGUGAGUAGCACGUGAGCAACCUGCCCCGAAGACCGGGACAACACCGGGAAACCGGUGCUAAUACCGGAUAGCCCCAUUGAGUCGCAUGGCUCGAUGAGGAAAUGGAUUCCGCUUCGGGAGGGGCUCGCGGCCUAUCAGCUUGUUGGUGGGGUAACGGCUCACCAAGGCUUCGACGGGUAGCUGGUCUGAGAGGACGAUCAGCCACACUGGGACUGAGACACGGCCCAGACUCCUACGGGAGGCAGCAGUGGGGAGUCUUGCACAAUGGGCGAAAGCCUGAUGCAGCAACGCCGCGUGAGGGACGAAGGCUUUCUGAGUUGUAAACCUCUUUCAGCAGGGACGAUUGUGACGGUACCUGCAGAAGAAGCCCCGGCCAACUACGUGCCAGCAGCCGCGGUAAUACGUAGGGGGCAAGCGUUGUCCGGAUUUAUUGGGGCGUAAAGAGCUCGUAGGCGGCUUGGCAAGUCGGAUGUGGAAACCUCCAGGCUCAACCUGGAGUC
rnacentral:rRNA from 1 species